AUUGAACGCUGGCGGCAGGCCUAACACAUGCAAGUCGAACGAGCGGCGGACGGGUGAGUAAUGUAUGGGGACUGCCCUAUAGAGGGGGAUAACUACUGGAAACGGUGGCUAAUACCGCCUACUAUAGGAUAACCCAUCGGGGAUGAGGUAGUAGGUGGGGUAAAGGCUCACCUAGGCUACGAUCUCUCGCUGGUCUGAGAGGAUGAUCAGCAAAACUGGGCCUGAUACACGGCCCAGACUCCUACGGAGGCAGCAGUGGGGAAUAUUGCACAAUGGGCGAAAGCCUGAUGCAGCCAUGCCGGGUGUAUGAAGAAGGCCUUAGGGUGGUAAAGGACUUUCAGCGGGGAGGCGUUACCCGAAGAAGAAGCACCGGCUAACUCCGUGCCAGCAGCCGCGGUAAUAC
rnacentral:rRNA from 1 species